rnacentral:rRNA from 1 species
UACGUAGGGGGCAAGCGUUGUCCGGAAUCAUUGGGCGUAAAGAGCGUGUAGGCGGCCCGAUAAGUCCGCUGUGAAAGUCCAGGGCUCAACCCUGGGAUGCCGGUGGAUACUGUCGGGCUCGAGUCCGGAAGAGGAGUGUGGAAUUCCUGGUGUAGCGGUGAAAUGCGCAGAUAUCAGGAAGAACACCCGUGGCUAAGGCGGCUCUCUAGUACGGUACUGACGCUGAGACGCGAAAAGCGUGGGGGAGCGAACAGG